rnacentral:rRNA from 1 species
AGUGAACGCUGGCGGUAGGCCUAACACAUGCAAGUCGAACGGCAGCACAGUAAGGGCUUGCUCUUACGGGUGGCGAGUGGCGGACGGGUUAGGAAUACAUCGGAAUCUACUUUUUCGUGGGUGAUAACGUAGGUAAACUUACGCUAAUACCUCAUACGACCUUCGGGUGUAAGCAGGGGCUCUUCGGACCUUGCGCGAUUGAAUGAGCCGAUGUCGGAUUAGCUAGUUGGCGGGGUAAAGGCCCACCAAGGCGACGAUCCGUAGCUGGUCUGAGAGGAUGAUCACCCACACUGGAACUUAGACACGGUCCAGACUCCUACGGGAGGGAGCAGUGGGGAAUAUUGGACAAUGGGCGCAAGCCUGAUACAGCCAUCGCGAGUCGGUGAAGAAGGCGUUGGGUGUGUAAAGACGUUCUGUUGGGAAAGAAAAGCAGCAGGUUAAUACCACGCUGUUGUGACGGUACCCAAAGAAUAAGCACCGGCUAACUUCGUG